rnacentral:rRNA from 1 species
AAGGAUCAUUAAAGAGUAAGGGUCUCCGGCCCGAACCUCCAACCCUUUGUUGUUAAAACUACCUUGUUGCUUUGGCGGGACCGUUCGGUCUCGAGCGCACCGGUUUCUCCAUUUCGAGGAUUGGUGAGCGCCCGCCAGAGUCAAACCAAACUCUUGUAUUAAACCAGUCGUCUGAGUAUAAAAUUUUAAUUUAAUUAAAACUUUCAACAACGGAUCUCUUGGUUCUCGCAUCGAUGAAGAACGCAGCGAAAUGCGAUAAGUAAUGUGAAUUGCAGAAUUCAGUGAAUCAUCGAAUCUUUGAACGCACAUUGCGCCCCUUGGUAUUCCGAGGGGCAUGCCUGUUCGAGCGUCAUUACACCACUCAAGCACUGCUUGGUAUUGGGCACCCGUCCGCCGAAAGGCGGGCGUGCCUCGAAGACCUCGGCGGGGCCUAACCGGCUUCGGGCGUAGUAGAGUUAAAUCAAAACGUCUUAUAAGUCUGGUUAGAACCCAUUGCCGUAAAACCUUUUUAUUUUCUAGGUUGACCUCGGAUCAGGUAGGGAUACCCGCUGAACUUAA